rnacentral:lncRNA from 1 species
AUGGAGAGCUUAUACUUCAGUCUGCAGUUUUCAGGUUCCUGGAGCCACAUUAGCCUGGUGAGCGGAGUUGUCAUUAACCCCGCAGUCAGAACUCUACUGACUACGUGGCAAUGUUCCCCAAACAAGAUGUUGACUACUGCAGUCUCAAAACAGAAGGCAAGGUUGUGCAGACUAUUUCCUACAGUGCUUACAGUCCAUGAAGG